GCAAGUCGAGCGGAAACGAUGAUAGCUUGCUAUCAGGCGUCGAGCGGCGGACGGGUGAGUAAUGCUUAGGAAUUUGCCCAGUCGAGGGGGACAACAGUUGGAAACGACUGCUAAUACCGCAUACGCCCUACGGGGGAAAGCAGGGGCUCUUCGGACCUUGCGCGAUUGGAUAAGCCUAAGUGAGAUUAGCUAGUUGGUAAGGUAAUGGCUUACCAAGGCGACGAUCUCUAGCUGGUUUGAGAGGAUGAUC
rnacentral:rRNA from 1 species